rnacentral:misc_RNA from 1 species
GAUAAGAACGCAGCGAAAUGCGAUAAAUAAUGUGAAUUGCAGAAUUCAGUGAAUCAUCGAGUCUUUGAACGCACAUUGCGCCCCCUGGUAUUCCGGGGGGCAUGCCUGUCCGAGCGUCAUUGCUGCCCUCAAGCACGGCUUGUGUGUUGGGCCCCCGUCCCCCCCUCCCGGGGGACGGGCCCGAAAGGCAGCGGCGGCACCGCGUCCGGUCCUCGAGCGUAUGGGGCUUUGUCACCCGCUCUGUAGGCCCGGCCGGCGCCUGCCGACCACCAUCAAUCUUUUUUCAGGUUGACCUCGGAUCAGGUAGGGAUACCCGCUGAACUUAAGCAUAUCAAUAAGCGGAGGA